CGCAAAUUACCCAAUCCUGACUCAGGGAGGUAGUGACAAGAAAUAACAACACUGGAAAUUUUAUUUCUAGUGAUUGGAAUGAUGGGAAUUUAAACCCCUUUCAGAGUAACAAUUGGAGGGCAAGUCUGGUGCCAGCAGCCGCGGUAAUUCCAGCUCCAAUAGCGUAUAUUAAAGUUGUUGCAGUUAAAAAGCUCGUAGUUGGAUGUCUGCUGGAAGCAAUCAGUCCGCCCUAUUUGUAGGGUGUGCACUUGAUGAAUUCUGGCAUCUAUAUCCCAAUAAUAUGAUGGUGUAUACCCUGUGUACACCCAUCUAUAUUGGGAUAAUACCGUUACUUUGAGAAAAUUAGAGUGUUUGAAGCAGGCUAAUUGCCUUGAAUACUGCAGCAUGGAAUAACAAUAUAGGAUUUCGGUUCUAUUUUGUUGGUUUCUAGGACUGAAAUAAUGAUUAAUAGGGACAGUUGGGGGCAUUCGUAUUUAACUGUCAGAGGUGAAAUUCUUAGAUUUGUUAAAGACGAACUACUGCGAAAGCAUUUGCCAAAGAUGUUUUCAUUAAUCAAGAACGAAAGUUAGGGGCUCGAAGACGAUCAGAUACCGUCGUAGUCUUAACCAUAAACUAUGCCGACUAGAGAUAGGAAAAUGUCAUUUUUCUGACUUCUCCUGCACCUUAUGAGAAAU
rnacentral:rRNA from 1 species